UUUGCUUUCUAACCAGAUACGUGAUGUAGAAUGUAUAAAUCAGGAGGUAUAACUAUCACUUAGUUAUUAAGGAAAGAUGAUGAAAGAAGGGCUAGCCUGAAAGAAACUUCUGCCUUCUUUGGAAAUGAGAUGCAAAAAGUAUGGCUCCCUGCUACAACAAAAAUGGAUCCCCCAAGGAGGACAUAACUGGAAUUGCUGUCAUUGUUACCCCUUUGAAAAUCUCAGCCAGCUAGAGGACCAGAGACAUUCUCAUCAAGAUUAAAGCCAGAGCAACCACCACCAACAAAUGAUGACAAAUCCCUGCCAGGAUUGGAGUGGGUUUGAAUGGCAUAGCUGGCCCCUGGUACUCCUGAGUGGUUAGAUCGUCAGUCUUACCUGUUCAUUUUGUUAACCUCAUAGUAGUACAGCAACAUAUUUUACUUGUUUGAAUUGUUUGUGUUAGAAUCAGGUAUUAACCUUGUAGGCAACAUGGAUAAUAUAUUUCUGUAGUUCAACAUAAUUUCCAUUUUAAAUUCACAAUUUAUUAGAGCAGCAGAAAAUAAUGUCAAUAAAAUUGAAGCCUCUUUUUCUUAAGGGAUUGUGCCUAAGGAGCUUACUUAAUUCCAAGACUGGGUGUGUGGUGAGGAGGGGAGAAAAUGGAGAGGACGCUAUGCCUCAUUAUUUCCUAAGAUGCUCAUCAUUCCAAAUGAUCAUCCAUCACUGGUCUUAAGGUCACUUUUGUCUUCUGGUCUCUUUGGGUCUGAAAGAUCUCUGCUAUGUCCAUUAUUCAGGUGGGGGUUUGGAAAUAACUGCAACCUAUCUAGAAACUCAUCUGCCAAAUGAACUUCGCAACAAUUUCCUAUGUGGGGGCAUAUCACCUUCCUGAGACUCUGCCUGAGGUAAAGGCACAGAGCCUCACUCCCUUGAUCAAGCUUCCUUCCAUCCUUCUUACUCCAACCUGUUUUCUGUUUGCCACAGAAAUCUCACCUUCUUUCAGAGACACAAAGGGAACUCUACCCCAAGAUCAAUUUUAUAAAGGCUCAUAAUUCCAGUUCUCUCUUGAUAAUAGAGCAGUCUCGAAAUCAGUUACUAAAUGUAGGGUGGAUUAAUUUUAGAUCUUGUGUAUAGGACUUGGUCUGAAUCCUUUAAAAUCGUAGGUAUAUACUUUACAUAAGCCUUACCCCAAGGGCAGCCAUAAUUUUCUUUCAACCAUAUUUUGUAGGCUGGUGAGUCCUGCACCUGCCCCAAGUUUCAGGCAAUUAACUUGACUGUGGUCUCCUGCCAUGCACACUGAGCUUUAGCUCUCAUUAAUCUGUGGGAGACAAAUUCUAGCUUCCUCUAGACUGAGAACCAGCAGGCCUAGCUCCAGUCUCUAAUCACUAACUUAUCACUGUGACAUUUUUUUCCCUUUCUGGUCUGUGGAGAUAUUUCUCUUCUUUUGAGUUUACCAUAUCUUAGUCAUUUUGCCAUUCUUUAAAAUUAUUCUUUGACUGCUAAGCUUGGAGUUGAUGGAGAAGUUCAAGCCUAAACUCAUAAUGUCAUCCUGACCCUUGGUCCCAAACUGUUGGUAUCUGAUUAUCUAGUUCUCAGGGUGAAUUUGGAUAUUUGUAGACUUGAAGGCCCAAAUAGACAAGUGGACACUCCAUGUUAAUCAUAGCCCAACUUAUCCUAGAAAGAAAAUUAAGUUUAAUUAAGUUCCUCAAUAUAUUUCACCUAAGAUGCAAGAACAAAUAAACCCUGAAAAAUAUUUUUUAUAGUGAAGCCCUUGCUCAGAGAAAAAACAGAACAAAACCUCAAGAACUGUGAUUAAUUAUACUAAAGGAUAUUUUCAGGCAUGGACUUGUCUUGAAAACGUGCUGUUGGGCCUAAUUGUAUUUACAGUUCACACUCAUAUAUAGAGCACUGGUAGACCAGUCAGUGAGUGAAUGAUUAUAGUCCUAUUUUUGGCUUGAACAUUCAUCAAUGUGUGAGUGUUGGCAGGAAAGCCACUAAACUUUUCACAGUAUGUCUUCUCAUUGUAAAAUGGAAAUAUUAAUUCCUGCCAUUAUUGUGGUAUGGUUAUGAAGAACAAACAAAACACAGCCAAAUGAUGCUAUAAAUCUGUUUUGAGAUUAUCCCUGGCACAUUUACCUAGUAAAAUUUUGCAUUCAUUUUGCAUAGUAAAAUGAAUAGUUGUUAUUUUAAAAGAGGGUAAAAAAAAUAAGCUAAGUAAUUCAAGAAUCUAAAAACAACUAUAAAAUAAGCAAUACAUUAAACAAAUAUUAAAAUUACUUAACCAAAAAGAAAGCUAUUUUGUUUAAAAGAUUAGUAGAAUUAAGACGAGAUUUUAAAUGUCUCUUUCUACUGAGGUUAAUGCUAAAAAAUUGUAUCUUUGAGUUUUUUUUUCUUUUUUUAGAAAAUGAUAGUGGAAAAAUUUUUAUCAGAAGAAAGCUUAAAAGCAUAGGUAAAAUUAGCCUUUUUUUCUAGAGAAAAUAUAAGUAUCAAAAAUGACAGAAGGAAUAGAUCAAUUAAAUACUGUAAAGAGUAUAUAGCUAAAAAUAAUCAAUUCCCAAUGUCUCAAAAUUCACCUUAUAGUACUAAUUAUAACUGUGGCCAAAUCUCCAAGGUACAGAUAAUGCUUAUAUAUUAUGACCUUUCCAGACACUAUAAAAAGAGGACAACCUGUCAAGAAAGUUUAUUACUAUCUUUGGUUUUUCAUGUUAUGAUUGUUUAUCUGCUAAGAAAUUAUUGGAACUGUUAUUACAGUUUGUUAUUAAUGCCAAAAAUUAGAUCGAUAUGCAAAGGCCAAUGGAAGAAAUAGUUAGCAACAAUAAGAGAAAAAAGUAUAUAGAGAAAAAAUAUCUAAAAUAUCAGAAAAACCUUUAUGAUAUCAAAGAAUGUAAUAAAAGUAAAACCAUUAUAGAAUAAUAAUUUUUAAAAUAUUUGUGAAAGAUAUGUAUGAAUACCAAAACAGGUGGUAAAAAUCUUGUUAUGGAUAAGAAAAUUCACGGCCAUAAAGCUGUCAAUUUUUUUCAAAAUUAAAGGGCAACCUCCCUCUAGGAUUUUUAAUGUACAUACUAACUUGGUGCAAAAGUCAUUGCAGUUUUUGCCAUUACUUUAAUAGCAAAAACUAAAAAUAACCAAAAUGUCUGGUAGGGGGUCUGCCUGAGCAAGUAUUAAAACAUAAGUAACAAUAAUUAAAGCAGCAUUAUAUUGGCACAGAAAUAGGUAUGAAGGAAUUAAGAGCUGAGGUAGAGUCUCAAGUUUAUACAUAAUUUUUUAUUGUUGAACAAUUCUAUGGAGAUAAGUUUUGCAUACAAAAAUUUCAUGUUUAAAGAAAUAAUUUGGUGUUUUGAGAUAUGUAUUUAUGCAUGUUAAAAAAUUGAUCACUCACAAAAAUUUCCUCCACUUUGUACUCUCUUUCUUAGAGUCCUUCCCAUUCUAGGAAGCCAAUGAUUGUCUUUCUAUCAUUAGAGACUAGUUUGCAUUUUUAAGCAUUUUAUAUGAAUGGAGUAAUACAAUGCAUACUCUCAUUUUGUCUGGCUUAUUUCACUCAGUGUAAGAGAUGUCUCAAACCUGUUGCCAACAGUUUUGCAUCAAUAGUUAAUUCUUUUCAUUGCUGAGUAGUAUUCCAUUGUAUAGAUGUAUCAUAAUUUAUCUGCUUACACACUGAUGGACAUUUGGAUUCUUUCCAGUUUUUGGCUAUUAUCAUAAAAGUUUCUUGAAGAAUUUUAUAAAAGUCUUGGUAUGAAUAUUUUCAUUCAUUUCUGCUGGGUACAAACUUAGGAGUGGAGUGUCUGGAACAUAUGGUAGAUGCAUGUUUAACAUUUUAAGAAACUGCCAAAUCAUUUUCCAAAAUACAUGUAUUACUAGGAUAAGUUAGAGUGAAUUAUCUCCAUACCCUCUUGAAAUAGGUUGACCAUGUCAAUCUAUUUUUAUGUAGUCAUUAUACUGAGUGUGCAGUGGUAUGGCCAUGUCAAUCUAUUUUUAUGUAGUCAUUAUACUGAGUGUGCAGUGGUAUGGCCAUGUCAAUCUAUUUUUAUGUAGUCAUUAUACUGAGUGUGCAGUGGUACCUAAUUUUGGUUUCAGCGACUAAGGGGUUGAGC
rnacentral:lncRNA from 1 species